rnacentral:rRNA from 1 species
AACGAACGCUGGCGGCAGGCUUAACACAUGCAAGUCGAGCGCACCGCAAGGUGAGCGGCAGACGGGUGAGUAACGCGUGGGAAUCUAUCCAACCCUACGGAAUAACCCAGGGAAACUUGGACUAAUACCGUAUACGCCCUUUUGGGGAAAGAUUUAUCGGGGAUGGAUGAGCCCGCGUUGGAUUAGCUAGUUGGUGGGGUAAAGGCCUACCAAGGCGACGAUCCAUAGCUGGUCUGAGAGGAUGAUCAGCCACAUUGGGACUGAGACACGGCCCAAACUCCUACGGGAGGCAGCAGUGGGGAAUAUUGGACAAUGGGCGCAAGCCUGAUCCAGCCAUGCCGCGUGAGUGAUGAAGGCCUUAGGGUUGUAAAGCUCUUUCAGUAGGGAAGAUAAUGACGGUACCUACAGAAGAAGCCCCGGCUAACUUCGUG